UAGUCCACGCCCUAAACGAUGAAUGUUAGUCGUCGGGUAGCUAGUCUAUUCGGUGAUGCAGCUAACGCAUUAAACAUUCCGCCUGGGGAGUACGGUCGCAAGAUUAAAACUUAAAGGAAUUGACGGAGAUCCGCACAAAUAGUGGAGCAUGUGGUUUAAUUCGUAAGUACGCGACAACCUUACCAGCUUUGGAAUGUAAGCUGCGACCUUUGAGAAAGAGGUUUCAGAUAAUGCUGGGCUUACACAGAUGUUGCAUGGCCGCUGUCAGAUCGUGCCGUGAGGUGUUAGAUUAAGUUCUAUAACGAGCGCAACCCCUGUUGUUAGUUGCCAGCGAUUCAAGUCGGGAACUCUAACAAGACUGCCAGUGCAAACUGAGAGGAAGGUGGGGAUGACGUCAAAUCAUCACGGCCCUUACGUCCUGGGCUACACACGUCCUACAAUGGCAAGUACAGAGGGCAGCGAAGCAGCAAUGUGAAGCGAAUCCCAGAAAGCUUG
rnacentral:rRNA from 1 species